rnacentral:tRNA from 1 species
GAGAAGGCAUAAAGGUUAUAGAGUUGGCUUGAAACUAACUGUUGGAG